UACGUAGGGGGCGAGCGUUGUCCGGAUUCAUUGGGCGUAAAGAGCUCGUAGGCGGCUUGUCAAGUCGGGUGUGAAACCUCCAGGCUCAACCUGGAGACGCCACUCGAGACUGUCAUGGCUAGAGUCCGGUAGGGGAUCACGGAAUUCCUGGUGUAGCGGUGAAAUGCGCAGAUAUCAGGAGGAACACCGAUGGCGAAGGCGGGUCUCUGGGCCGAUACUGACGCUGAGGCGCGAAAGCUAGGGGAGCAAACAGG
rnacentral:rRNA from 1 species